UACGUAGGGCGCAAGCGUUGUCCGGAAUUAUUGGGCGUAAAGAGCUCGUAGGCGGUUUGUCGCGUCUGCUGUGAAAACCUAAGGCUCAACCUUGGGCUUGCAGUGGGUACGGGCAGACUAGAGUGCGGUAGGGGUGACUGGAAUUCCUGGUGUAGCGGUGGAAUGCGCAGAUAUCAGGAGGAACACCGAUGGCGAAGGCAGGUCACUGGGCCGCAACUGACGCUCAUGCACGACAGCGUGGGGAUCAAACAGG
rnacentral:rRNA from 1 species